rnacentral:rRNA from 1 species
GUAACGCGUAUGCAACUUGCCUAUCAGAGGGGGAGUAACCCGGCGAAAGUCGGACUAAUACCGCAUGAAGCAGGGAUCCCGCAUGGGGAUAUUUGCUAAAGAUUCAUCGCUGAUAGAUAGGCAUGCGUUCCAUUAGGCAGUUGGCGGGGUAACGGCCCACCAAACCGACGAUGGAUAGGGGUUCUGAGAGGAAGGUCCCCCACCAUUGGUACUGAGACACGGACCAAACUCCUACGGGAGGGCAGCAUG